rnacentral:rRNA from 1 species
AGCGAACGCUGGCGGCAGGCCUAACACAUGCAAGUCGAACGAUCCUUCGGGAUAGUGGCGGACGGGUGAGUAACACGUGGGAACGUGCCCUUUGGUUCGGAACAACUCAGGGAAACUUGAGCUAAUACCGAAUGUGCCCUUCGGGGGAAAGAUUUAUCGCCAUUGGAGCGGCCCGCGUCUGAUUAGCUAGUUGGUGAGGUAAUGGCUCACCAAGGCGACGAUCAGUAGCUGGUCUGAGAGGAUGAUCAGCCACACUGGGACUGAGACACGGCCCAGACUCCUACGGGAGGCAGCAGUGGGGAAUCUUGCGCAAUGGGCGAAAGCCUGACGCAGCCAUGCCGCGUGAAUGAUGAAGGUCUUAGGAUUGUAAAAUUCUUUCACCGGGGACGAUAAUGACGGUACCCGGAGAAGAAGCUCCGGCUAACUUCGUGCCAGCCGCCGCAGUAACAC